GGCUCCAGGCUCUGAGCCAUCAGCCCAGAGCCUGACGCGGGGCUCGAACUCACGGACCGCGAGAUCGUGACCUGGCUGAAGUCGGACGCUUAACCAACUGCGCCACCCAGGCGCCCCACUGCAGUGGUCUUCUAAAUGUGGAUUGCCUUCGUCUUCAUUAUCAGUGUCACCAUUGCUUACUGAGUGUCUACUAUGUUCAGAAUGUUGCUAGCAUGCCAUGUUCUAUAGACUGGAAAAGAGAGUACUGGGGGAGAGAAAACAGACCUGGGAUGAUAAAGGAGCCCAUCAUUAACUCCAAGGUGAUAAACCAGUGGGAGAGUCCGCAGUGCAGAGUGAGAUGGGAGGCAGCUGGAGGAAGUAGAAUCCAAGGCUUGGGAAGAUGAGCACUUAAGCAUGUGGAGAAGGUUUUGGGCAAGGUGUUGAGUGGUAAACAUGUGAGGGAUAGAAAUCCACAUGGAGUGGUAGGAGAGCUGUGAGCUGAAAAGUUAAGCUGGGAAUAGACUCUGAUGGGUGUAGUACGCCCAUAUGGGAAGUCUGGGCUUUGUCCUGUGGAAGUGAGGGUAUAGGAGGGGCAUGGACAGAAUUGGGGAGAGUGUGAUGUAUGGAAAAUGCUCUUGUAAAGAAAAUGUGGAGGUAGUGUGUAGGCUGGCUUUGAAGGGAAGGAAUUAGGAGACCUCACAGAAGUCUUCUGUGACAGUUUGUUCCUCUUCCUUAAUUCAUUCAAAACACGGGAGCUGCCAGAUUAAGUUCCUGAGCCACAGUUUUGAUCAUACACUCUCCUGCUCAAAUGACCUCGGAGAUUCUCUGUGCCUUGAGUGGCUCUUUGCUGGGUUUGGGGUGGCCUUUGUAAUCACACUUUAGCCCAUCUCCUCCCCUUCAGGAACCAACAUUUGGCUCUCACACAGAUUUUCCGUUUUCUUGAACCUGCGUGGGAAAUUGUGCUGUUUGAAAUUUCACCAAUCUUUCUCAUGCUCAUAAUGCCUUUCAUGGCCUCUCAGCCAGUAGUAUUCUUACCCCUGCUCAUGAAACUUCCCUAAUACUUACUGCCUGUACUGUUCAUUUUUGAUUAAUCAACAACUGACAUUUCUUUUGUAGCUGCAGAAACUGUUUAAUUAGCAUUCAUGUUGUUGUUUGUAUGUUUUUGUUUUGUUUCUUCAACAGUCUGUAACAUCCUUGACCCUUUUGUAGGUGGCUACAGCCAUUAUAUUGGUAUCUACUACUGCCCCAGUUAUGGUAUUUUGAACAUGGUAAUAUUUGCUGACCUUCAGUUUUGUUUUAGCUUGUCAAAACAGCCAGGCAGAUUAUGCAAGAUUCGUGGGGCUCAGGGCAAUAACACAUUUGAAGGUCCCAGCUUUUAUCAGGGUGGUGGGCAUUGAAUGAGUAGAUCUAGGAAGAACUUUCAUUUCUUCUAGUCUUCUUGUCCCUUUCUAUAGAUGGGUUUUCAAUGACCACAAGGGAGUCAAGAACAUCCCCUUGACUUACUUUGGGCAGUGGGUUCCCAGCUCCCCUUACAAGGCGGUCCUGUUUUCAAAGGGAAGAAUCUACUUAGAUUCUUGUCUUGAGAUUUUUGUCUUGAUAUAAUUGUCCCUGAAAACCGGGAUUUAAUAUCAACUAAGUUAAACUUUUUUGAUCCCAACUAUCCAGAAGUAAGUUAAAAAUGGAUGCUUACACUUUGCUGUUAAGUAGGUCAGAAGGUCUGCAGAGCAAAAUUAGCAUUAUAUGGAUCAGAGAAAUAAUUGCAAACACCUAAGUUAACAAAGACUAAUGGCUGGAAAACUUUGGUCAGGGGUGUUAAAACACUUGCUUUUUAGAUGAAGGUGAUAUAUUCUGAGGAUUUUAGAUUAGUUUUCUUCUCACCUCCAGGGUUGGCAGACUGGUGUGCAUUAGAGGUAAGGACUAAGUGGGGAAUAUGGGGUGGCUUUAUGCUUUUAUUGAGGAACCUAGUGCACCAAUUUUCCAUUAACGUAAGCCAUAUUAAUUUGUAGGGGUGAUAAUUGGGACUGUUGGCUAGCUGAUUCUUCCCUGUGUGCUGCUAUGCAAAGAAAGGGACAAAAAUGAAAAAUACAAGCAAGAGAACUGAGAGAAUGUUCGAAAGAGCAAACAGUUGUAAGUUCUUUUAGCUGCAGCAGAGGCACUUAUGUGGAAACAGCUGACCUGCUAAUUAGAAAACAUCCUUGCCUAUUCAUUAAAUUAAUUAUCCUAAGGAAUUCUGCUAGGCAACACUUCGUCUAGUUCUAAUUAUUAUGUGCCCUUGAAAGCAAUAAACUGCACUUUUAGAAUAAAAUUUUAUAAUUUAGACAUCUACAUGGCUUACUCAGACACUUCCUGUAAUUAGAGUAGGAUAGUAAUGAGGGGUUACAUUUUGGUUUUUAUUAAAAAGGCUUAUCCACCUCUUCAUAGGGAGAUUAUAAUGAAUUAUUAAAUAAUGUAUGUUUAGAUUUGAGAACUCCUUGGAGAUCAUUAUUGUUCAAAUAUGAGAGGUUUUUAAGGUUAUCUUUUUGGAUUACUUUGGAUCUUUAUUUUUUUGAAUGAACAUCAUAUUAUGAUUAAAGAUAGUAGUAAAACUUUUCUGUCAUAAACUGACACGUUCAAGUAAGAAUAAGGUGAAUCAUCAUUCAUGCAGCCACAUUAUCCUGUUUUCCCCACUUUAUCCUGCAGAGCGUUUUCUAACCUUAAUCAGAACUCUGGUUAAAAAGUGCAGGAAAAGAACACCUACUGUAUACCCCCAGGGGUCUGCCCAUGAGAGCAAUUCUGUGAAAGGUGAGCUGAUCUAAAACAAUGAGCUGGUGUUAUUGAGGAGAACUUGGCUGGCUCUUGACCAGUGUUUGGAUUGGGCCAUAUAUGUUUCAGUCUUAGGAGUGUAUGCUUCAGAGGUCAGUGCCUGGGUCCAAAGCUUCCAUCUAGCACUGUGAUCUGGGCAUUCUCCAACUGGCUGACCUUGGACAAGUUACUUAAAGCUCUGUGCUUCAGUUUUCUUAUCUGUAAAUGGGGCUAACAUUAGCUCCCACCUCCAAGGGUUGUUGUGAGGAUUAAAUGAGUCCCUUCAUGUAAAGUGCUCUUACAUAGUAAGGGCUUUAUUCACUUAUCCAUCCAUCCAUCCAUCCAUCCAUCCAUCCAUCCAUCCAUCUGUUACUUAUUCAUUCCACUCCUAUUUAUUGUGCACUUACUGUGUGCUGGGCCCUGCUGUGGAGAUUGCUGUUAGGGGUACAGGAGUCAAACAGAUGAGGUCCCUGUCCUAUUGGAACCUAAGUUCUAGGGGGAAGAGACACACUAUAAAUAACUAAAAUUAACAAGUUCAGGUACUAAGUGUUAAAAAGACAAUAGCUAGGGAAAUAGAGAGUGACUGGGUUGUAAGGAGAGAGGUCAUUGUUAACUAGGGUGGGUAGAAAUGGCUUUUGAGGAGGUGACAGUUAAGCUGAGGCCUGAAUGAUGAGAUAAAUAUCAGCUUUGAUUAAAAUAAAAAAGUUUUCUUUUGUGUUGGUGGCUGUUUCCAUAUUCUUAUUUUAAAAUUUCUUAACAUCAGUAUAAAAUCCUUUGUAGCAGGACACCACUAGGAGACCUUGAGCCCCUCCUAGUAGCACAUGACUGUGUUCAAACCAGUCAUUGUCAACAUCUUGGAGCUCAUUGUCUCCAAACUUCAUCUUGUCAGUACCCAGAUCUGCCCACCCCUGGGUCUCUCUCCCUUGGCUCCAGCUGGGUGCUCACCCACCUUGUUAUGCCUGAGUUCCUGAAAGAGCCUGACUCCAUUGUUCCCCACUGAUAGAAAGUACAGGAUUGGGUUGAGGCAGCUGCUCAUGCUCACCAGUGGUCUCCAUAGCUUAUAGGCCAAGCUGGCCACCAUCAAGAGCUGGCAGUCCUCUGAAGAUAGGUAGCGGAGUGUGAGGUAGAGGGAGCGUGUGAUGUGGAAGGGCACAAAGCAGACGGUGAAGAGGCCGCACACCAGCAAGAUGGUCCGGAUGGACUUGGUCCGGGCUGCAUUGCCUGUCCUUAUGAGGGUCUCUCCUGGCUUGAUCAGUCUCUUCACCAUCAGCGAGUAGCACACCAAGAUGAUCAAAGAAGGAAAGACAAAGCCAGACAACGUUAGAACCAUGCCGUAGGUGAAAAACCGAUCAAAAUUUUCAGGGCUUGUCAUGUCGUAACAGACCAUCUGGCCGUUGAUGUAGUCUGUUUGGGAGAAGAACAGUGUGGGCAGUAGCUGGACGACCACCAGGGCCCAGGUGGUGGCAGUACCCAGGAAGGCAUGCCAGCGGGUCCGGUAGGGCAGUGAACGCAGGGGGUGGCACACGCCCAGGAAGCGGUGCACAGAGAUGCAGGUCAGUAGCAGGAUGCUGCCAUAGAGGUUGGUGUAGAACAGGAAGCGCACCAGCCUGCACAGCAGCUCCCCGAAGGGCCACCUGUCACCCAGGGAGUAGGUGAUGAUGAGAAAGGGUAGCGUCAGCACAUAAAGCAGGUCAGCUACCAUCAGGUUCACCAGAUAGAUGGUGGCACAGCUCCAGCGCUUGCUUUGACGCCAGGAGAGCCACAAGACCAUGACAUUCAGGGGCAGCCCUAGCACGAGGAUGAUACUGUAGGUCAGGGAGAGGUAGACUUGCUUGUAGUCCUCCGAGAACUUGCAGAAUCUCUGUUCCUUUGAGGCAUUAGUAUCCAGCAUCUCCAUCUCCUGGGAAGCUCCCUCUGGGACCAUAACUGCUCCUGCUUGUGCUUUCCCUGGGAGGAAAGAAAAUGGGCAGCAUAGCAUCAUGACCUUGGCUGAGUGUCAGCCUCUCCCUUGAUCUGGCAUUUUACUCUGUGUUCCCAAAGUCUGGUCAGAGUCCUUGUUUGAAAGAGGCUAACUCCAGGAAAGAAAAUGUAAAUUCAAGGGCACAGCAGCCUUUAAAAGCCGAGCUUGUAGACUUACCAGGUCCAGAGGGCUGGCCCUACGCUAUCUUGUAUGCUUGCUGCUCUAGGCUGGGUUGUGACAGGAGGCCCAAACACACAUGGUGCUUCCUGUCAUUUAAACAGGGUAUACAACCUGGAACAGUGUGACUGCUCCUCUGGCUAGAGUCCUUUGCAUAGAGUCAGGAAAUCUCCAAGGGGAUUUUUAUUUGUAUCUCUUUCAGGAUUUAUUAACUGCCUAUUUGAAUACUGAGGCUGAUUUGCUUAUUAACCAUCUCAGCAUCCCGGACAUCCAAGAAAACAGAUGUGAGCCAUGAAGCCAGGAUUUCACAGUCUGGUGGGGAAGACAGAAACCAAUACAGCUAAUUGUAACCGUGUAAAGAGUGGUCAACAAAAUGCUGUGAAGACCAGCAGGAUGCAGCAGUUCUCUGCUAAGGGAGUCGAGUGAAGGCUUCCUAAUGAGGUGCCAUUUGAGCUGCUUGGGAGAAGAACAGAGACAAAGAAGGUUUCUGCUUCUUCUUUGCUUCUUCUGACUUGGCUUUCCCUCUGGGCAUCCUUUGGCUUCUACUACUGUUGCAGAUGGCUAACUCUGCACCCGGAAGCAAAGAACUUUUCCCGAGACUCUGAUUCACCCAGGUAUUUAUCGUUAUUCAGAAAGAGAAGAUACACGUGUGAGAAUGGGUUUUCUUUUCCACCAAACCCCAUUUUUCUUUAAUAAUGUCUAAACUAUGAACUUGCUUUCUACAAUACAUACUUAUAAUAGAAGCUUCUUAUGACUCUAAAACAAUUAUGGUAGCAAAUAUAAAAUUUGAAGCUCGUCUCCAACACAGAGUGUUUUAUUUGUUAAUAGUAUGCCUGUCAGAACUUUGAGAUAUUUUGUUCAUAUGUAAACCUUAAAUUUAAAUUGACAGUCCUAUUAAUGAUGGAAUGCAGCUAUGUAUGUUUAUGGUAAAAGAACAAAGUGGAUAUUUUUGAACCUUAUUAUAUGAAGACAGAUUAAAAACAGUAGUCAUAGAGAAUGAAAACAGGCCUUGAUGUCAUGUUCAGUAAAACAUGUCAGAAGUGAUGUCUCAGAAAGCACUAGGGUGAAAUACGAGGGGAAGAUGUGAAGUUGCAAGGGGUUUCAUUUAAACACGAGGCUCCUGUAUUAAUAUUUUCAUUGAUUUAUUUUCAUGCCAAUAUGUUCUGACAUAAAUAUGGUGAUCUAUAAUGUAUCGACCAUAAAAGUCAACAUUAUUUUUAAAGCUGACUCAGGGAAAUAAAACCUCAUUGUUAGUGCUGAUAUAUAUGGUAUGUUACCGUGUUGAAAAAUUAACCUCUCCUGCUCUGCUCCCGAUUGAGCUAAUAGGAGAGAUGCAUUUCAACACUGCUGACCUUUUGUGCAUGUUUUUCUUCAUGGCCAAAGUUUAGUUUGCAGUGGGCCUGGCCCAUGGUGUGAAGUAAAGAGCAACGCAUAUUCAUAUUCGACUUCCUUCUGAAAAGAACUUUGACAAGAAUGAAAGCUAAUCAGCAAGAAUCUUUGCCUUUCAGAGGAUCGAAAGGCCUGGGAAACUCUCUGGGUUAGAUACCUUGGAGCCCAUACCUUGCAUCUUCAGUAAACAGAGUGGCAUGAGGCCCCAAGAUGUAGAGGAACCUGGGGACAGUGUUGGCCAAGGGUGACCACAGAGGAGAGACUCAGUCUAGAGUGCCAGAGGCAGGGAUACACCCUUGUGUUCUGCGCAAGCCAACCACAAGAGUGAUAGGACCUUCUAUGAAAUGGUUCUACCAAAUGGAGAGUGAGCCAGGGAGAGUUUAAUUUAGCAGCAAAGGAAAGUAUGCUUGUAAGACCUGAGUUCCAAGCCACUAAGUUCCAGAACAGAAUAAAGUUUGCUGAAAAUAAGAAAGUGCUGAGAUUUUUAGAGCCAGAGAGGCCCCUGGGUGCCAGGCAGCUGUAGUCACUUGAUACAUGAGGAAACUGUCAAGUGAGCAGUUUGUCCAAGGUCAUAUAGAUGGGUAGUGGCCGAGCUGUGUCUAGGUUCCAGAUCUUCUGAUUCUCUGUCCCGUGCUCUUUCUGUUCCGUUUUAUCAAUAGGAGUCAUGACUGAUAAUAUAUGUUCAUGGAGGAUAUUCUACAGGACCUUUCAAAUCUGGUUUCCAACCCACCACUGUACUGCAACUGAUCUUGUCAAGGCUCUCAAUGGCCUCCAUGUUGCUACAUCCUAUGGAAACCUUCUGACUCCAUUUAAACCUCUAAUCAGCAUAGGCCACAUUCAUUGAAACGGUCUUCUCUUGCUUUCGCCAUUAGUUAGGGUUUCAUUGCUGGUGAGGGAAGCCCGUACCAUAGGGGGGACCAAGUAAAACAAUAACUUAUUGCUCAUAUAAUCACCGUCCUGGUAAGUGUGGCUUUAGUUACAGAUGUGCUACCAAGACUGCUUUCUCUAUAUUUCCUGGCUCCAUUUUCUCCAAAUUGGCUCCAUUUUCAUAUGUACUCUUGUCAUAGUGACAAGAUGGCUGUCAGAGACUCUACUUUUUCAUUUAAUGAUAUGCAGAUCCAGCAGGAAAAAUUAUGCCUCAGCCAGGGAUUCCUAGGAUUAGCACUGAUUGGUCCUAUUGUCUUGUUCUAAGUUCUGUGUCUAUCUCUGAACCAACCACUGUGGCCAGGGGAAUGGAAUGCAUUGAUUGGCGUAGGCCUUGGUUAAACGCUCCAACCCUAGGACCCUGAGGAGAGAAUUGGCUUCAUUCAAAUCCCGUGUAUUUAGAGUUGAAGUAGGCGUGGCUCUCCUAAAGCAUAUUUGGGGUCCUCUUACAAGAAAGGGAGUGAAUACCAGGCAGCAAAAUUAACAAAUACCUGUAACAACUUCUCUGAUGUGACAGUGCCCUAAUAUGCCUCCUACUUCACUCACCUGCCCUCCUCAACUUGAUCCUCAGGGCCCAGCUCCAGACCUUCUCCCCUUCCAUGUCUAUAUUUGCUCUCAAGGUGAUUUUAUCCAGUCCAUGGAAUAAAAUCUUUAACCCUGAGGCUAUGGUUACUGUGAAACUUGUUUUACAUAUUUGUUGUGGGGAAUUGCAUUUAUUCACUAUGUAUCUAUUAUAAGAAAUUGUAUAUAUUAGAGUAUGUCUGAGCAGGAGAUUGGAUUUAUGCACCCUAAGGUGUUACAAGCCAACCAGCACUGUUAAUGACCUCACUAAUUUUAUUCGGUAACUCCAUUUCUGCAUAAAUUCAUAAACCCAAUUUCUAGUCAGGAACCAUUAAAACCCUUUGUCUUGGCUUUCUUAUUAUAAGUUUAUUUGAGAAAAAUGAAUUUGUGGCUCUAUAAGAAUAAUUUCUGAUUAGUAUGUGAAGCUUGUUUUUUUUCAUGCUACCCAUGUCUUGAUAAGUCCCUAAUCCAUACUCACAGCUCAGUUCUGUGAGCUCCAGUCUUGUGUAUCUAACUGCCCGUUUGGCACUUCCUGGAUAUUUACAGGUUCCACCAGCCUAACCUAGCUAAAAGUGAGCUCCUGAUUUCCUCUUCCCUCCCUACCGCCCCACCAAAUCUGUGUCUCUGUACAACAAUCUUCGCAAGUUCAGUAAAUAGCAUUGUUUCCCCACAGUCCAUUCCAUUACUUUCACUCCGUCUGGAUUAUUCUGAUGUUGAGUUUGGUCCUAGGACUCAAAUCACAAGUCCAUUUUUCUGAAAACCUGUGUGUUCUUUGAUUGUAUCAUGCUCAUUCAUGCCCCAGAGUCUCUGCGAUUCCCCAUCCCCCUUCCUGCUUGGAGCACACUUUCCACAGCUCUUUCUCUGCAUGGCUGAAUUCAUCUUAUCCUUCAGAUCUUAGCUAAAAUGUCAUGUUCUGAGAGGGCUUUGUAUUAUCUAAAAACAAUUUGUACUGUAAUCCCUUACUAUAGCGCCUUGUUUAUAUGUAUAUGUGUAUAUACAUAUACAUAUGUGUGUGUAUACAUAUAUAAAUAUACACAUACAUAAAUAUAUUUAUACAUAUACAUAUGCACAUAUAUGUGUGUAUACAUAUAUAUAUAUAAAUAUAUAAAUUUUUUUUUUUUACAAAAUCUUUGCUUAUAGUUUUGCUUGGUUUUUGUCCACUUACCACUAAAAUGUAAAUUAAUUGAAGUCAUGGACUGUGUCUGUCUUGUUCUUUAUAUCCUUGGGCCUAGCAGUGCCUUGCACAUAAUUAGCAUUCAACAGAUCUUAGUGGAAUGAGGGAUUGUUCUGUUUGCUGUCUUAAAAGGGAGGGAUACAAGUGGCUUGUUCUAUUGAGGGUCAUGCCACCUUUCUCACCCCAGCAGGAUGGGCUUAAUUGCUGGAUUCAUACAGGUGGUAAUAGGCUGGCUUCUAAGACAGUGGUUGUUGGAUGACUACCAUCAUGGAUAGGCAUAAAGAGAAGUAGCUUGAGCCUCCAGCCCCCAAGGCCUUGACUCUGGGAGUGUUGGGCUUCUCUAUGGCUUGUACUCCUUAGCCUCCUUUUUAAGAGCAAAUGAUGCUGAGAUAGAACAUCUUAAUUUCAUGCAAAGGUUUUGAUUCCUUUGACAUUAGAUAUGCAUUCUUGAGAAAGAUAAGUAAAAAGCACCAGUAGUGAUCCCAUAACCAACUUUCAGCACUGCCCUUGGAAAGGAAGUUCUGUGCAAUGUGGAAGUGAAUACAUAAAAGAAGAAAACAUGAAUUAUGGCUUGUUCUCAUCUUUGGAAAUGGUGUAUGAGGUUAGUUUCUCUAUUCACAACUUUAUGAGUUGUUUGUGAUGACUGAGCAAACAUUUUUGUUGUUUUUGCUUUUUGUUGGUAACUGUAUCAGUCAGUUUUUACUAGGUGUGCUGCAAUAACAAAGAACUCUGAAAUCCUCCUGGCUUACAACAGCUAAGUUUUGUUUCUCACUCACAAUGUGCUAAUUGUGAGUCAGGUUCAGCUUUUCUUUGUGUCUCCUCUUCAUCCUGGGAUCCAGGUUGUAGGAGUAGUCCCAAUCUGGGACAUGCUUAUCUUACAGCAGAGAGAAAAAGAGAGAUAAAGGAAACAUGAAAUAGCUUUUAAAGCUUCUGUUUAGAAAUAGCAUGCUUCACUUCUUGUCACAUGUCAUUGGUCAGAGUAAUUCACACAGUCAAGCCUGAUACCAAUAAGGUGGUUUAAUCCUCUUGCAGAAAGGUAGAGCAAAUGAUUGGAAAUGUUAAUAUAAUCUUGCACAGGAGUUUUCUAAUGAAAACCUAAAAUACUGCUGCUGGAAAGUUUUGGCAAUAUGUAAUGAAUGAACAUUUAGUAAAGAAUGAAUGUUUUUUAAAAGCAUGUUUUAUAUAUUUUUAAAUGUUUAUUUUUGAGAGAGGAGAGAGAGAGCAAGCCAGGGAGGGACAGAGAGAGAGAGGGGACAGAG